CAAAUUGUUGGUAAUACUAAAGUGAUUGAUAACCCCGAGGAUCACGUCGCCCCCCAAACUGUUGAUAAUACUAAAGAGAUGGAUAACCCCGAGGUCAAUGAGCCACAUGUUACCACUGGAGUCGUAGCUGGAGUUAAUAGUGAGGUUAGCCAGAAAUAUAAAUAUUAGCUGAUAAGUUUCCUAUUAUCAUUUUGAUAAUGUAGAUUAUUAUGUAUACACAUUAGCGAAUAACUAAUUUUUUACCAUUACCGGGUUUGUUGUCUUUCUUUUUUCCCUUUCCAGGAUGACGUCGCCCCCCAAACUGUUGAUAAUACUAAAGAGAUGGAUAACCCCGAGGUCAAUGAGCCACUUGUUACCACUGGAGUCGUAGCUGGAGUUAACAGCGAGGUUAGCCAGAAAUAUAAAUAUUAGCUGAUAAGUUUCCUAUUAUCAUUUUAUUUACU